rfam:Medicago truncatula strain A17 chromosome 5, whole genome shotgun sequence.
AUGUAAUGUAGCAUGUCCGUUUGGUGCUUAACUCUGUUGAAUUAAUUAUUAUUUAAUUACUUUUGGGUAACAGGGUGUUACAUUUUC